GUGCUCACUUCGGCAGCACAUAUACUAAAAUUGCAACGAUACAGAGAAGAUUAGUACAGCCCCUGCGCAAGGAUGACACACAAAUUUGUGAAGUGUUCCAUAUUUUU
ensembl:snRNA U6 U6 spliceosomal RNA